UGCACUUGGGUGGAUGAUUGGGGAAGUUGCAGGUGAACUUGGACGGAUGAUCGGUGAAUCGUCAGGCAAAUUCCUCUUACUAUGAUGAGUACUAGGUGGUGAAAUUUCAGGUGCACUUGGGUGGAUGAUUGGGGAAGUUGCAGGUGAACUUGGAUGGAAGAUUGGUGAACCCUCAGGAAAAUUCUCCUUACCAUGAUGAAUACUAGGUGGCAAAAUUUCAUGUGCACUUGGCUGGAUUAUUGGAGAAAUUGCAGGCGAACUUGGAUGAAUGAUUGGCAAAUCAUCAGGCAAAUUCUUCUUACUAUGAUGAGUACUAGGCGGCAAAAUUUCAGGUGCACCUGGCUGGAUUAUUGGAGAAGUUGCAGGUGAACUUGGAUGAAUGAUUGGCAAAUCAUCAGAGAAAUUCUUCUUACUAUGAUGAGUACUAGGUGGCAAAAUUUCACGUGCACCUGGCUGGACUAUUGGAGAAAUUGCAGGUGAACUUGAAUGGACGGUUGGUAAAUUAUCAAGCGAAUUCUUCUUACUAUGAUGAGUAUUAGGCGGCAAAAUUUCAGGUGCACUUGGCUGGAUUAUUGGAGAAGUUGCAGGUGAACUUGGAUGAAUGAUAGGCAAAUCAUCAGACAAAUUCUUCUUAACAUGAUGAGUGCUAGGCGGCAAAAUUUCAGGUGCACUUGGCUGGAUUAUUGGAGAAGUUGCAGGUGAACUUGGAUGAAUGAUCGGCAAAUCAUCAGACAAAUUCUUCUUACUAUGAUGAGUGCUAGGGGGCAAAAUUUCAGGUGCACUUGGCCGGAUGAUUGGAGAAGUUGCAGGUGAACUAGGAUGAAUGAUUGGCAAAUCAUCAGACAAAUUCUUCUUACUAUGAUGAUUACUAGGCGGCAAAAUUUCAGGUGCACUUGGCUGGAUUAUUGGAGAAGUUGCAGGUGAACUUGGAUGAAUGACUGGCAAAUCAUCAGAAAAAUUCUUCUUACUAUGAUGAGUACUAGGUGGCAAAAUUUCAGGUGCACUUGGCUGGAUUAUUGGAGAAGUUGCAGGUGAACUUGGAUGAAUGAUUGGCAAAUCAUCAAACAAAUUCUUCUUACUACGUUGAGUACUAGGCGGCAAAAUUUGAGGUGCACUUGGCUGGAUUAUUGGAGAAAUUGCAGGUGAACUUGGAUGGACGAUUGGUGGAUCUUCAGACAAAUUCUU
rnacentral:lncRNA from 1 species